CGUCUAGACGCAGCGUCCAGCGUCAAGACGCCGAGAAAACCAGCGGCCGCGUCAAAAGAUCUGCGUUUUUUUACCCUAUUUAUAAUUUUACCCUUAACCUAAUUUAUUAUUUACAAAAAAAACUAACAUAUUUGACGCAGCCGCCUCCUUUUGACGCAACUUCAUCUCUCUCGAUCUCUUCUCACAGACCUCUCAUCUCGAUCUCCAUCUCUUUGCGAUCUCCAUCUCAUCUCGAUCUCCAUCUCUCUCCAACUCCAUCUCACUCUCCAUCUCGACUCUCUCUCCAUCUCGUGCUCUCACUCCAUCUUGUGCCCUCACUCUCCAUCUCGUGCUCUCACUCUCCAUCUCACUCUCCAUCUCGACUCUCUCUCCAUCUCGUGCUCUCUGACACAAACCCAUCUCAAGUUCUCUCUCAAUCUCCGAAGCAGACCCAUCUAUGAGCUCUCUCUCUUGAACCUAACUUGGUGGAAGCCAUCGGUUUAAGAUUGACCCGGACAUUCAAAAGGGUUUAGACCUUGGUCUGGUGUCACCUGAGAUUCUACAGAACUUCUUUGAUCUAGAGCAAUAUCCUCUUAUUGCAGAGCUUACACAGAGGUUCCAGGGUUUCAGAGAAAGGCUUUCUGUGUGUGUCUGUCUUUCACUGUCUUGUAAGGAUCGGAAUCUCAUCCAAGUAAACGAAGGUUAUCAGACCAACUCUACUCCUCCAUCUAAAGUCAGAAUGCAGAAGCAUAUAAUGGUAGAAAAGGAGUUACAAUGAAUGUUCUCGCCAUAUGUAACUUCGAUAUGAAGUUCAUAUAUGCAUAUGUCGGAGUACCUGGUAGAGCACAUGAUUCAAAGGUCUUGACUCAUUGUGCGAGGAAUGAGGCUUCUUUCCCACAUCCUCCUCCUGAAAAGUACUACCUAGUUGAUUCCGGAUACUCGACCAGGGCAGGGUAUCUUGGUCCGCAUCGUAAUAUGCGAUAUCAUAUUCCUCAAUUUCAGAGAGGAGGACCACCAGUUAGUGCACGAGAGCUGUUUAACAAAAGGCAUUCAAGUCUGCGAUCAUACAUUGAGAGGACAUUUGGAGUAUGGAAAGCAAAAUGGAGGAUUUUGGACCGUAAGCAUCCAAAGUAUGGUCUGGUCAAGUGGAUUAAGUUGGUGACAGCGACGAUGGCGUUGACAGAAGGUGAUGAUGAUGAUGGUGGUGGACAUUAUUGAAUAUGAACCGAGAGGUGAUACAUCAAUGGAGGCUUUGCGUGAUAACAUCACAAAUGGAUUUGGUAGAGGUCGUUUACCAUAUUAAAUCAUGUUUUAGUUAAUGAUUUGAUUUUUUUUAAGACUUGCUGUAAUAAUUUUUUUUAUCAACCAACUUAAUUUCAUGUUUCUUUUAUCUGUAAAACAUAUU